ACAGGUAGUUGUAGUUUUUUGUUCUUAUACAUACUGAUAUUUGUAUCUCGCUGGAGUAAGUGAUUUUGUAUACCAGGAUCCUAUGUAUGUAUAGUGAACCUUUGUUAUUAUAUAUGUUUUCUUUUAGCAGCUCUAUACUACUGGUUGUAGUGUUGUAUGAUUACAGAUACAGAUACAACUAUCGCUUUGUAUUCAGAAAAAAUUUUUAUGUAUACGGCGGGUAUGUUAGCGUGCCCGGAAAAAAGAGAAUACGGGGCGCGACAGAUUAAGUUGGUAUCAGAACUUAGUAUUAGGUCGUUG
rnacentral:lncRNA from 1 species